rnacentral:lncRNA from 1 species
AGAUGUGUGAAGUGCGGUAGGAGGCACAAAGGCGUAUGUCGGGCUGGGACAACAGCAUGUUUCAGGUGCGGACAGGAGGGGCACAUGGCACGAGAGUGUCCCAUUACGGUCAUGUCAGCACAGUUCCCACAGACAUCCGCAGACAAUAUAAUUCCACCAGAAGCUCCAGCCUCGGUGCAGGGCAGAGGUAGAGAAAGAGGGGUAGUCCCUUCUUCAGGAGGUUCCUUCAGUGGACGUCCGUUAGUUCCGGCUCGGAUUUUCACCCAGGAUCAGCC